UGGGACGCCCCCGGUUUCGGUCGACUUCGUCUUCGGGGAGCUCCCGGGAGAGGCUGUGGGAAGGGAUGGAGGGGAAGCACGUAUCCUGCCGCAGUGGGGAAGCAGCCCCGGGAUCGCCCGUCCCUCUGCCUCGGCCCUGGGUCCCCUUCUCGGUCUCUCCACCGCCAUUGGGUGGGGCCUGUGAGGGCCGCCGCCUGGCCCACCUCUCCUAAUCAUGCCGAGAAGGGGCAAGUGCUCAUCCCCUGGGAAGAACCGAGCCCGCCUGGAGGACAGGACGAGCCCGGGGCAGGAGGAUGGUUCCGCCGAAGCCGCGUAAAAAAUGCAGCGAACCAAUGCAUGCUGUGGACGACCCUUGUGAAGUCUGAAAAAUAAGCCCGAUGCCCCUUAAUUGCCGGAUUCUCUUUCCCUCCAUUUCUCCGCUGUUCAGGGGAUGUGGGUAGGCCCCCCAGCAUCUGCGCUUCAAGGCCCUAACUACUGCUAUGAAGGCUUCUCCGAGGAAGGUGUCUUCUGGAGAUACUUGGCCAUUCCCUGAGUCUUACAGGUUUUCCAGUUGUCCUUUUCAAAAUCUUCAUGUCCACCAUCUCCCUCCUCGAACAUAGAAGUACUCUUCUCACCGAAAAGUUGUGAUGAAGGGCAUGAACCCUGGAGCUAGGCAAAUUGUAGUUUUUAGAUCUACUCUGUUCCAAAUCUGAUCUUCGGCAAGUGGAACUCACCUGCAAUGAUAGCUAUUCAAAUGUAGUUGUGUGGUGAUUAAAUAAAAUAAUAAAUAUCA